AUUGAACGCUGGCGGCAGGCCUAACACAUGCAAGUCGAGCGGAUGAAGGGAGCUUGCUCCUGUAUUCAGCGGCGGACGGGUGAGUAAUGCCUAGGAAUCUGCCUGGUAGUGGGGGAUAACGUCCGGAAACGGGCGCUAAUACCGCAUACGUCCUGAGGGAGAAAGUGGGGGAUCUUCGGACCUCACGCUAUCAGAUGAGCCUAGGUCGGAUUAGCUAGUUGGUGGGGUAAAGGCCUACCAAGGCGACGAUCCGUAACUGGUCUGAGAGGAUGAUCAGUCACACUGGAACUGAGACACGGUCCAGACUCCUACGGGAGGCAGCAGUGGGGAAUAUUGGACAAUGGGCGAAAGCCUGAUCCAGCCAUGCCGCGUGUGUGAAGAAGGUCUUCGGAUUGUAAAGCACUUUAAGUUGGGAGGAAGGGCAGUAAGUUAAUACCUUGCUGUUCUGACGUUACCAACAGAAUAAGCACCGGCUAACUUCGUG
rnacentral:rRNA from 1 species